AUGGUGGAGGCCAACAACGCCAAGUUUUGGCGCGCGGUGCCGGCGCCCUGCGUCGGGUACGUUUGGGCCUACAUGUCCUGGGGCCAGUACGGCCGGGACGUGGGCAGCGCGGCCGACCAGAUCGCCGCCUACGCCAGCCAGGCCCCCGCCGCCGGCGACGGCCUCGACGCCUGGGUCCUCGACAUCGACGACACCUGCCUCUCCAACCUGCCCUACUACCAGGCCAAGCAGUUCGGGGCGUACGACCCGGCGGCGUUCAAGGCGUGGGCGAGCAGGGGGACGUGCCCGGGGAUACCGGCGAUGGUGACGCUCUUCUGGGCGCUCAAAGCCGGAGGCUUCAGGGUUUUUCUUCUCUCCGGGAGAGACGAGGAGGCUCUCGGCGCGCCCACGGCUGCCAACCUCGCCGCUGCCGGGUUUGCUGGCUACGACCGGCUCAUCUUGAGGAACGAUACGACACCAAGCUCGGUGGUGUUCAAGUCGGCGGAGCGCCGGCGGCUGGUGGAGGAGGGGUACCGGAUCCGCGGCAACGUCGGCGACCAGUGGAGCGACCUGCAGGGCGACUGCGCCGGCGACCGCGUCUUCAAAGUGCCCAACCCCAUGUACUUCGUCCCUUGA
rnacentral:rRNA from 1 species